rnacentral:rRNA from 2 species
AAGCCCGACAUGUAACGCCGUCUGGUGGAUGACCAGGCUUGAGCGCUGAGGAAGGGCGUGGCAAGCAACGAAAUGCCUCGGGUAGCUGCAUGCAAGCGUAGAUCCGAGGAUGCCCAAAUGAGACUUCUUGCAGGUGGUCCUUCGGGACUCUCUGCGUUCCGUAAGGAACGGGAACUCCCUGAACGGAAAUAUCUUAGUAAGGGAAGGAAAAGAAACCAAUCGGGAUUCCCUUAGUAGCGUGAGCGAAACGGGACCAGUCCAAACCGAACCCCUCUGGGUAACCUGAGGGGGAUGUAGUGUUGUGGGCCCAGCUUCAUCCUAACCAGUAAAACCAAAGUGACCUGAAACGGUCCGCCAUAGAUGGUGAAAGCCCAGUAGGUGUAAACUGGAAGGACUUGAGUUGGGAUCCCUGAGUACCAUACCCUGGAUUCGGUGUGGGAAGUUGGAGGUCACCAACCUCUAAGACUAAAUACGUCUCAAGACCGAUAGCGUACUAGUACGGUGACAGAAAGCUGAAAAGCACCCCGCGAGGGGGGUUAAAAGUGCCUGAAACCAGACGGUUACAGACGUUUGCAGCCCGGAAGGAUAGAUCCCUUCGUAAGGAACCUGUGGUAACGCAGUAAUACGAGGAAGGGGGACCAGGGUUGCAAGUUCCGUCUAGAAACACGGGCCGGGGAGUUUAUUGUUGUGGCAAGCUUAAAGGCAGGCAUGCCUGUAAGCGCAGGGAAACCGACAAGCACACAGCCGACUUUGGUUGGUGAGGUGCGGGGUCUGAAAGGGCCCGGAGUCACAGCGAUAACACUAGAAACCGGACGAUCUAGCCUUGGGCAGGGCGAAGUCAGGCGAAAGCCUGGUGGAGGCCCGAAGGGGUUCUGACGUGCAAUUCGUUCCUCUGACCUGAGGCUAGGGGCGAAAGACCAAUCUAGUUCGGUGAUAGCUAGUUCCCUCCGAAGUUGGUCGCAGCCAACCCUCAAACGAGGUAGCUCAUGGGGUAGAGCACUAAUUGGGAAGUAAGGGGUCGAAAGAUCUCGCUUUCCUUCUAAACUCCGAAUCUAUGAGCGCCGUAGACUUUGGGAGACGGGUUAUGGGGGGUAAGCCCCCAUUCCGAGAGGGGGACAACCCAGACUGGGGUUAAGGCCCCUAAAUGCUGGCUAAGUGUUAAAUAGAAAAGUGUCAUCAGCCCCAGACAGCGGGGAGGUAGGCUUAGAAGCAGCCAACCUUUAAAGAAAGCGUAACAGCUCACCCGCCGAGGCUGAUGGCCUUGAAAAUGGACGGGGCUAAGCCAGCUGCCGAUACCCUAGAGUGCAACUUAUGUUGUAAUCUGGUAGGAGGGCGUCCUGACUGGGCGGAAGCUAGGCCGUGAGGUCUAGUGGACCGGAUCAGGAUUGAGUAUCCCGGUGGUAGUAACAGCAGAGAGGGGUGGGAAUCCCCUCCGCCGAAAGGGCAAGGGUUCCCCAGCAACGCGUCGUCAGCUGGGGGUAAGUCGAUCCUAAGGCCGAUCUUAACUGAGAAGGUCGAAAGGGAAGCAGGUUAAUAUUCCUGCACCAUAAAGGUACACGCAGCAAUGCAAGCUUAUUUUCUGACGCUUCUGGAUAGGUUGAGCAAGGUCGUCGCUUUGUUUAACCGUAUAACUCUGGGGAGUGCCGUAAUGGCGAGAACCAGGAGAAAGCGGGAAUAGCCAUCCGUUUUAGGAAGGUUCAGCCGAUUUCUGGAGCCCAUGAAAAGGAAAGUAAGAAGGAUCCUUUAUGUUCGUACCAAGAACCGACACAGGUGCCCCUAGGCAAGAAACCUAAGGCGUGUCGGGUACACACUAAGCGAGGGAACUCGGCAAAUUAGCCCCGUAACUUUGGGAUAAGGGGUGCCUGCGGUUUUGGCUCCGGCUGGAACAGCAGGUCGCAGUGGCAAAGGGGUUCCGACUGUUUAAUAAAAACAUAGCAAACCGCAAGCCCGAAAGGGUAUGAACGGUUUGUGAAUCCUGUCCAGUACAGGUACCUGAAGCCCGGUUUCAACCGGUUUAAGGGCCUGCAAACGACGGGAGUAACUCUGACUCUCUUAAGGUAGCCAAAUGCCUUGUCGGGUAAGUUCCGACGCGCAUGAAUGGAACAACGAGAACCCCACUGUCCCCGCUUAGUACCCGGUGAACCCACUUAAAGUGGACGAACAGUCCACUGACUCCCAGCGGGAAAAGAAGACCCCGUGGAGUUUUACUGCAGCCUGUCGUUGGGAUAUGGCUGUGGAUGCAGAGCGUAGGCGGGAGCCGUUAUACUUCAGUCUCUCCGGGGACUGGGGAAGGCAACAAUGGAACACCGCCCUUUCGCAUCCGUGUCUCUUACCGGCACAAUUGUGUUGGGACAACGAUUGGUGGGCAGUUCGGCUGGGGCGGCACCCCCUUGAAAAAAUAUCAAGGGGGCCCUAAGGUCAGCUCAGGAGGGACAGAAACCCUCCGCAGAGUGCAAAGGUAAAAGCUGGCUUGACUGGAUCCUCCACAGCAAGGGAUCCAGAGGCGAAAGCCUGGCUUAGCGAACAUCCAAAUCCUCGUUGGUGGGGGUUGGAUAUGACAGAAAAAUUACCCCGGGGAUAACAGGCUUGUCGCGGGCGAGAGUUCACAUCGACCCCGCGGCUUGGUACCUCGAUGUCGGCUCUUCCUAUCCUGGUCCUGCAUAAGGGGCCAAGGGUGAGGCUGCUCGCCUAUUAAAAGGGAACGUGAGCUGGGUUUAGACCGUCGUGAGACAGGUCGGACUUUAUCUGCUGGGAGUGUUGGUUAUCUGAAGGGAAAGGGUUCCCAGUACGAGAGGAACGGAACGUUGUAGCCUCUAGUUUACCGGUUGUCUGACAUGGCACUGCCGGGCAGCCACGCUGUCGUGGAUAAGAGCUGAAAGCAUCUAAGCUCGAAGCCACUCCUGAAACAAGGUAACCAUUCCCUAACACGAGACCUUGGUAACAAGGCCUCAGUUAUGGACGAAAGCUCCCAUAGAAGAUGGGCUUGAUGGAGUCGGGGUGUACGCAUCAAGGCUUCGGCCGAGGUGUUUAGCCUGCGACCUCCAACCGCUUAAGGUGCCGGGCUG